GAAUUUUUGAACACUUGCAGGUAGCUUCUGAACUCUGAAAUCUGAACACUUUCAGACGUCUUCAUAUUUCAGGCGUCAGGCUGAGCCUGACGCACCGCCUCUCGUUCCCCACCGCCUCCCCGCCUCCAGCCGCCGAGGGUCUCCGCCGCCGCCGCCCUCGCAUCCUUGCUCCCCCGUUCCCCCCACCCGGCACCGGCGCCGCCCCCGGCGACACUUCGCGGUUUCUUCACCCGGUCGCCCCGCUCAGGUCUCUCCCGCGUUCUAGGGUUAGCCCUCCUCUGUUCUGGGGUUUGGCUCGCCUUGCCGCGCCGCCCUUGUCUCGCCGGCAUCCCCGCACCGCCGAAGGAGCCUCGACCGCGGCCGCCCACCCUCGGCUAGUGUGCACCGCCUUCCCUAAUUACCCGAGCAGCGCCUCGUAGUCGCACGCUCCCGCAUCUGACGGGCGCUCCUUGUUUCGCCGAAUCGCGGCCAGUCCCGCGAUGGCGGCGAUGGGGCAGGAGGGGGACGACGUCGACCACUACGAGGUGCUCUGCCUGCCGUCCGGCGAGGAAGGCGCGGCGCUGAGCGUCGAGCAGAUCGAGAAGGCCUACCGGACGCAGUCGCGGCUCCGGCACCCCGACAAGCGCCCCGACGACCCCAACGCCACCGCUGACUUCCAGAGCCUCGCCAGCUCAUACAAGUUCCUCCGGGACGAGUCCCUCCGCCGUCAGUUUGACGUCCGCCUCCGUGGCCGCCGCGAGGCCGCAGCCCGCGCCGCGGCCACCGGGGUCAAGCGGCGGAAGGCCGUGUCCGACCUAGAGGAGCGCGAGCGCGCCUUCGCCGCCGGCGGAGGCCCCGCCGUCGACCCCGUCGAGCUGGCCAGGCGAGAGGAUAAGCGGAAGGCUGCCGACGUCAAGCGCGAACUCGACGAGUUCUUCGCUGCCAAGAAGUCAGGCGUCUCUGGCUCUGCUUCGACUCCGGCACAUGGAGAUAAGAAGGGUGCAACUCCAGAGAACGGACCAAAAACGGACAAGGGUAAGAUCUUGAAGGUUUCUUGGGAAGGGGGUGCAGAUUACUACACUGCAGCAAAGCUUGAUGAGAUAUUUAAGCAAUUCGGCACGGUUGAAGACAUUGUGAUCAAGACUAGGAAAUCAAAGAGCAAGGGUUCAGCAAUUGUUGUCAUGGCUUCCAAGGAGGCGGCACAAACUGCACUGAAGAACCAUUCUGUGUACAAUGUUUUCCCUGUCCCAUUGAUUGUUGCUUCUGUUCAAGAAUCGGGAGGGCUACCGGCAAGGUCAACUCAAACACCUGAACCGAGGACAAGCAACAUUGAUGGAACCGGGUUCAGCGAUUUGGAAGCAUCGGUAUUCCGAAAACUUCAAGAGGCCCAGAAAAGGAAGAAAUCUGGAUAAUUGAUGCUCCUCGAGGCAUGAGGUACCGCAAGUUACAGAGGACAUUUCCCUUCGCUACAGCUGAGGAUCAUCGGGGCAAUCCAGAACAAUCUUCUAGUAUCGUUACUGUUAUUUUUUGAUGGGUAUUUUGCAUCUUAGAUACAGUAGUAGAACAAAGUUUUUGCUAGGAGAGGUGAAAGGGAAACGGAGCCAUUCCAUAUCCAUACUUGUGCUUUCGAUCGCACACUUGUGCUGGUGAAAGGGAGUAUUUUCCUAGCCCACUGAAAGGCGAACAAGUAUUACCUCCGUACUGACACAGAGGUAGUACUAAAUUACUAUCGAUUUUUGGUUGAUAUAGAUAUGCUGAUGGAAGGCAAGUCCAUAAUAAUUUGUUUACAUGAUUGAUUGAUUGUUGUACUAUUGAUCUUUUUUUGUUUUUGAGUGAAUGCCAUCAUGGCUUUAUUAAUCAAAUAAGCAC
rnacentral:rRNA from 1 species